GAUGAACGCUGGCGGCGUGCUUAACACAUGCAAGUCGAACGAAGCACUUUAUUUGAUUUCCUUCGGGACUGAUUAUUUUGUGACUGAGUGGCGGACGGGUGAGUAACGCGUGGGUAACCUGCCUUGUACAGGGGGAUAACAGUUGGAAACGGCUGCUAAUACCGCAUAAGCGCACAGCAUCGCAUGAUGCAGUGUGAAAAACUCCGGUGGUAUAAGAUGGACCCGCGUUGGAUUAGCUAGUUGGUGAGGUAACGGCCCACCAAGGCGACGAUCCAUAGCCGACCUGUGAGGGUGACCGGCCACAUUGGGACUGGGACACGGCCCAAACUCCUACGGGAGGCAGCAGUGGGGAAUAUUGCACAAUGGGCGAAAGCCUGAUGCAGCGACGCCGCGUGAGCGAAGAAGUAUUUCGGUAUGUAAAGCUCUAUCAGCAGGGAAGAUAAUGACGGUACCUGACUAAGAAGCACCGGCUAAAUACGUG
rnacentral:rRNA from 1 species